CAGAAUAUUGGGACAGGACAUUCAAUAUUCCCUCUUGAAGCUCACCUGGUCCCAAAACAAGGGCAGAAACCAUCGUGUUUUCAACCAACUAGAUUUCAGGUUAUAGGUACAGUGCAGCAUGGCCUUUUGGGGGAAGUAUUGUGUGACAUGAGAAAAAAGUAAAGCAAGAAUUACACAGCCUUAAAGUAUAACUUUUGAAGAGAAUAAAUAUAUCUUUUUUAAGUAAAGCAAGAAUCACACAGUCUUACUGUAAAGUAUAACACUUGAAAAGAAUAAAUAUCUUUUUUUUUUUUCACUAAAGGAUACUUAGAUACAACCAUAAGCAUUCAAAUACCUUUUGUUCUACACCCUAUACAUAUAAACCAUGAGCAUGACACAUGAAACCAGAGCUAAAUGUCUUACAACGCCAUGCAACGCUUCCAUGCAGCGAAUUGGUCGGGGUGAUUUUCAUAUCUGAUGGAACUUGAGAAAUAAUGGUCGUGGCUGAUUGUUCUUUGCAGGAUUUUUCUCUCACCCGCGGCCAGCCCUGGGUGCAGUGCUGUGUUCACUCACUAGGCAGAACAUCUGUGGUCGCCGUCCCCCAUCGUUAUCAGAUCUCCGGAGCGGCUCCUGCCCACGAUGUGGCUUGAAGAUCUGGCUUUGUUGGCUUCCGACGUACUGCAAAGCCUUCUUAGUUAUAAGACAGGAGCAUCUCCAGCUCAGCUUUUGUCUGAAGUACAUGCGAAAGCAUCAUGGCUUCUUUUACUUGGCCAAAAAAAAAAUAAAAAAUAAAAAAUUGAAAGAAAUUGAAA